rnacentral:piRNA from 1 species
UAGAUGCUGGAUGUGUUCCGAUGACUUAGGU